CAAUAGCGUAUAUUUAAGUUGUUGCAGUUAAAAAGCUCGUAGUUGGAUUUCGGUUGAGAACGGCCGGUCCGCCGUUUGGUGCGCACUGGCUGGUUUCAACUUCCUGUAGAGGACGUGCUCUGGCUUCACGGCUGGACGCGGAGUCUACGUGGUUACUUUGAAAAAAUUAGAGUGUUCAAAGCGGGCUUACGCUUGAAUAUUUCAGCAUGGAAUAACACUAUAGGACUCCUGUCCUAUUUCGUUGGUCUCGGGACGGGAGUAAUGAUUAAGAGGAACAGUUGGGGGCAUUCGUAUUUCAUUGUCAGAGGUGGAAUUCUUGGAUUUAUGAAAGACGAACUUCUGCGAAAGCAUUUGCCAAGGAUGUUUNCAUUA
rnacentral:rRNA from 1 species